rnacentral:rRNA from 1 species
GAUUACCUUUCUUCCUUUGGGAAGGAAGGCGCCUGGUACCCUUUACCAUAUACCAUGAAUUCAGAAUUGAAAGUAUAAUAUAAUAACAACUUUUAACAAUGGAUCUCUUGGUUCUCGCAUCGAUGAAGAACGUAGCAAAGUGCGAUAACUAGUGUGAAUUGCAUAUUCGUGAAUCAUCGAGUCUUUGAACGCAGCUUGCACUCUAUGGAUCUUCUAUAGAGUACGCUUGCUUCAGUAUCAUAACCAACCCACACAUAAAAUUUAUUUUAUGUGGUGAUGGACAAAUUCGGUUAGAUUUAAUUAUUAUACCGAUUGUCUAAAAUACAGCCUCUUUGUAAUUUUCAUUAAAUUACGAACUACCUAGCCAUCGUGCUUUUUUGGUCCAACCAAAAAACAUUUAAUCUAGGGGUUCUGCCAGCCAGCAGAUAUUUUAAUGCUCUUUAACUAUGAUCUGAAGUCAAGUGGGACUACCCGCUGAACUUAA